ensembl:lncRNA
CUUGUUUUCUUUCCGAGUUCCCAGUUGUUUUGAAAGCACCAUAAAUCCAGAGAAUGUCAGUCUUUGAUGACAUAAUUUGGCCUGGCAGGACCGCUGCGCCACCUUCCUGUUCAAGUGAGCACAGCACAACAAGCUUCUACAGGUUGCUGAACUCCAGGGACUUCGACUCUCUGGGAGACAUUCGUGGCCAACGGACAGAGCCUGGACGGGAAUGUCAUUGACAUACUUGCUGCCGUUCAGUCGUGCUCUUUAUCUCGGAUACCAGGAUUGGUUUUGACAGCUUCCGGAACUGCAUGACAGCUACAGUCAAUUCUAAAGCCAUAAUCACUGUCAACCCGGGUAAGGAUAUCACUUCAUCUGGACUGAUCAUAUCUGUUUACAACAAGUGCCUUUUCUGCAUUGAGAAACAGCAGAUAAUUGUUUUUUUAAGAGCAUAUUUUAAUGUUCACAUUAUUAAUUUAAUACAGUACCUAAUACUGUAAUUAAUGUGAUUAUGUUUGAGAUACAUAAGAUACGAAGGAAGCCAGCCUUCUGUUCAGCUAUGCCAACGAGGUCUCUGAAUCUUUUGGAUGAGGAUGACAGGUCUGGAGAUGUGCCUGGUAUGUAACAACUAUGACUGUAUUAGUAUUAUCCUACAUUUGAGACUUUGCAAUCAUGAUUUUAUUUAUUUAUAUUUAUUUAUAUGAUUUCAUUACAUGCGCCGAAUACAACAGGUGUAGAAUUCACUGUGAAAUGCUUACUUAGGAGUCCUUUCGCAACAAUGCAGAGUAAAAAAACUAAGGAAAUAAGAUAAAAAAUGUAGCGGAAAUAGUAACACAUUAAAAUAACAAUAAUGAGACUAUAUACAGGAGUCAGUACCAAGUCAAUGUUCAGGGGUACAAGGUAAUUGAGGUAAUUGAGGUAAUAUGUACAUCUAGGCAGGGUUGGGUAGGUUACUUUCUAAGUGUAUUCUGUCCUAAUUGUCCCUAGAAUUUCUAAGCAAACAGCUGGAGGCAUGGCUUUCUCCUAUAGAGCUCCAUUUUUAUGGAACGGUCUGCCUACCCAUGUCAGAGACGCAAACUCGGUCUCAACCUUUAAGUCUUUACUGAAGACUUAUCUCUUCAGUGGGUCAUAUGAUUGAGUGUAGUCUCUGGAGGCUCUGGAGCAACGAACCGCCCUUGCUGUCUCUGCCUGGCCGGUUCCCCUCUUUCCACUGGGAUUCUCUGCCUCUAACCCUAUUACAGGGGCUGAGUCACUGGCUUACUGGGGCUCUCUCAUGCCGUCCCUGGAAGGGGUGCGUCACCUGAGUGGGUUGAUUCACUGAUGUGGUCAUCCUGUCUGGGUUGGCGCCCCCCCUUGGGUUGUGCCAUGGCGGAGAUCUUUGUGGGCUAUACUCAGCCUUGUCUCAGGAUGGUAAGUUGGUGGUUGAAGAUAUCCCUCUAGUGGUGUGGGGGCUGUGCUUUGGAAAAGUGGGUGGGUUUAUAUCCUUCCUGUUUGGCCCUGUCCGGGGGUGUUCUCGGAUGGGGCCACAGUGUCUCCUGACCCCUCCUGUCUCAGCCUCCAGUAUUUAUGCUGCAGUAGUUUGUGUCAGGGGGCUAGGGUCAGUUUGUUAUAUCUGGAGUUCUUCUCCUGUCCUAUUCGGUGUCCUGUGUGAAUCUAAGUGUGCGUUCUCUAAUUCUCUCCUUCUCUCUUUCUUUCUCUCUCUCGGAGGACCUGAGCCCUAGGACCAUGCCCCAGGACUACCUGACAUGAUGACUCCUUGCUGUCCACAGUCCACCUGGCCGUGCUGCUGCUCCAGUUUCAACUGUUCUGCCUUAUUAUUAUUCGACCAUGCUGGUCAUUUAUGAACAUUUGAACAUCUUGGCCAUGUUCUGUUAUAAUCUCCACCCGGCACAGCCAGAAGAGGACUGGCCACCCCACAUAUGCUCUCUCUAAUUCUCUCUUUCUUUCUCUCUCUCGGAAGACCUGAGCUCUAGGACCAUGCCCCAGGACUACCUGACAUGAUGACUCCUUGCUGUCCCCAGUCCAUCUGACUGUGCUGCUGCUCCAGUUUCAACUGUUCUGCCUUAUUAUUAUACGACCAUGCUGGUCAUUUAUGAACAUUUGAACAUCUUGGCCAUGUUCUGUUAUAAUCUCCACCCGGCACAGCCAGAAGAGGACUGGCC